AAAAAAUUUAAUCAAAAUGAUUAUGCGAAAAAGAUCAAUAUAUAAUACAUGGCCUGUGAAAGAACAUCAGUUAGAAUCCUGUCAAGAUGUGACACGUUUCAUGAGAAGAUUUAUCGAUUCUGCAAUUACUGCUGCAAUAAAGAUUGCUGCUGUUAUGGUUUGUUAACCUUUAUGUACAUGUCAAUUAUAUAGUCAAUUAUAUAUAAUGUUACAUAUAAUUUUUAAACGCUUUUAUACAUUAUCAUUGGAAUGAUAUCUCCCGUAUAUAUCUCCUAUGUACGUAUAAUUAUGUCUGAUUAUUAUUCAAUAUUAUAAAGAUCAUCAUUACAAAAGAGAGAAUUAUAUAAAUUUUUAAUCAUCAUUUCUCUAUUGAUCGUUUAGGAUCAUCAAUCUUCGUUCAAUUACUCUGGAACAAAAUGGCCCACGUGUGGAAAAAUCAACAUAAGAAACGGUCUGCGAUGUAUAAAAGAAGAAAUGCUCAGAUGGAACCAAUUAUCGGUGCAAUUGAAAACAAAGAUCGAUCGUCGCGAGAAUAAAAAGGAAACGAGCGAUUUAUUAAUUUCUUUUGCAGGCUUUACAAAAUUGGAUGUUCUACGUAGAUUUUAUCGGUCUCAACAGAGAAGGAACUGCCGAUUUUUAUACGUAUCAAGUUCUCUGGAGUAUACCCACACCAACAUAUCCGGAGCCAUAUGUAACUGUCAGCGUGUUCUUCUGUAUCGCAGCGAGUCGCGUGCAACCGCCGCACUUUCCAGUUGACAUCAAAUAUUGCCGGCAUUAAAAUAUGACAUGUUAUCAGUAAAUGGUUGGUGGUCCCAUUCAUUAUCUCCCAGGAUGUUAACACGCUAUACGUAGCCGACUACAAGAAGAAUCUAUUUACAAUCCGAGGAGGUGUGAACCUUGCGUUGGUCUUCGAGCCCGAUUCUGACUUUUUCAUAUGUUCUUUGGAUAAUAAGACCAAUGAACGGAUAGAACAAUUCAAAAACCAAAGAGGAGGGCCCUUGUGCACAUGCUGGACGACGCCAGGAGGUCUCUCAGGAGAUGCCUCAGCAGGAGCCUGAAGAGAAAGCAACCCAUGCGUCUUGGACAUAUAAAAAAUUUGAAAGAGGGGUCGUAGGAUUCUGGACUAGAGGAGGAUUGAACGUAUCGACCUUCUCCAAGAAUUAGAGAAGAAGGAUGACCGGUGAUUGUGCCGGACUCACGAGAUCGUUGCAGCAACAUCAUCAGCAGCAGCAGCUCGUCGAAUCACCAGCUGCCGAUUCGCCGAGUCGACUCCUGGAAGCACGGGAGUCGAUCUAAAAUUAGCGGCCCCGCGACGUGGUACCCCCGCCUAGCCCUUACAUGGCCACGUCAUGGGCAUGCACUCGGCUACUUCAAGAGAGAAAGAGAGAGAGAGAGUGAAGAAAAAAGGGAAACAAUAAUAAUCGCAGCUUGUGCCGGCACGAGUUGAUCACGCGCGAGAUCUAGCAGCUGGAACUCGUCGACACGGUGAUCCAGAGAUUUGAGAGCUCAACGUGACAGCGAUUUAAAAGAUCCACGCUAGCGUGUCCAUAGAGAGGAGUUUCACUUCGGCUAUUUCGAACAGGUUGCGCUCGUACCUAUUUUUUGAUCAUUGGCAUCGGUCAGUCGGUCGUACCCAUGGAUUCUCAUGCUGUCGUCAACAGAUAGAAAAUCACUUUAAGAGUCUCGGAAAAUGCGAGAGAUACAGUCCCGGUGGCAAGGUACGAUCCUUUAGUCCUCAAAGUGUUAAGAUAACGAGUGCACCGAUUCGCAGCUGGAUUCUUCAAUGGGCCACUAGAAAGAAGAGAGUUUCUGAAUGGGCACGCACACGCAUCCGAAGCGCGUACGCACAUACGUCGCGAUAUUCCCGUGGAUCUUAUAGCAGCGAGAUAUCAACGAACGAAAAUGCGAUCUCCCCCCAACCGAGUUUGUCUAAUAUUAUACUGCUACACAAAACUCAUCGUGACGCACAUAAUAUUUGUACGAAUUAUUUUCAACUUCUUUAUGUUACAUCGUAAAUUAAUUAUAUUUCUGUUAGAUUAAUAAUUAAAGCAUAGAAUUAUUUUUUAAAUUUUACUGAUGCUAGUACUUUUAAAUAGAUGUAUGAUAUCAACAGUUAAUUAAAUUAUAUUUUUGUGAAUUAAAAAAAAAUAUUUAACUUAC